rnacentral:misc_RNA from 1 species
UACACUGAGUUAUGACUAAAUGAACAAACACUAUUCAUUUGGUCAUUUUCCAGUAACAGCUUGUGUGUUAUCCGGAUUGAGGCAAUUUUUAGGUCAACUUAAGUUGGUUUUCUGGGCAGGGUUUCUUCAUGAAAAAUGUGGCUUAAGGUCUUAAAUUUCAUCUUCAAUUGGCCUCACACCAAUUGGAGCAACACAACUCCAGUUAUAACUCAAACAAUGCACUGGACUCAAAGGUCCGAUUUUCCUGCAUAAAAAUCAACACUCCCAAACUCAAUUCUCCCAACUCCACAAACUUCAUUUAACAUAUAUAGCACUUCUAAUGGUCAUUAAAUCAUCUCAACAUCAUCCAUUUCAAGACACACAUCAAUUUCCUCAAAGUUAGGUCAAAAACCCUGACUCACAAUUCUUCAAUUCAUGUAAACACAUGCCAAUCAAUUUGUUCAUCACAAUUACUCAUCAAUAUCACUAAUAAACACAAAUAAUUUCCUCAAAACCAUCAAACCACAACUCAUAUAAUGGCUGCUGAAAUUUAGAAAUUUUCUAUCUCUAAAAAUUUCUUUUAAUUUUUAUAUCAAUCUAACUUAAUUUAGCAAGCUUAUCAUACUUAGAAAAGAAAUAGAAAUAAAUUAGUGCACUAACCUCUUUGGUGACUUAAUAAACUUCACUUCUACCUCUUCUUAUGACUAUCAAUAACUUCCUUAUGAUGUGGUGAGAAAUUUUUGUGAAGACAAAUUAAGGUUUAGAGGUGAAAAAGCUAAGAAAAAAAAGAGCUUGAAAAAAAAUGAAAAUGGUGGAGCUUGGGAUGGGGUUUCUCGGCCAUGGGAAUGGAAGGAAGAAGAUAAUGGCCAAUUUAAUUUUUUUUGUCCUCUUUUAAGCCUUCUUAUCCCUUCUUAUAAAUUUGUUAAUUUUUUAUUGGUUCAAAAUUUUUAAAUGAUGUCAUAUGACAUCAUAAAUAAGAUAAUUACUUUAUUUCUUUUCUUUUCUUUUGUUUUCUUUUCUUUCAUCCACCUCUUUUCUUUUAAUAUAUUUUUUAUAAUUUUAAUUUCCUACAUUUUAGUGGACAUUUAGGCCAAGAGUCACCUCUGAGGGUGAAUUGACCAUAUUGCCCUUUAUCGGUCUAAUCAGAUUUUCUAGUAACACUAUGUUACUUCCAGAAGUCUGUCUCAAUUAUUUGAACUUGUUCUUUAUUCUUUUCUGUGGUUUUCAUAGUACCAUUAACUUCGCAAUUAUCCUUAGGCCUGGGGUGUCACAAAGUCCCACACAAAAUUAGACUAGCAACUGAGUUUGCAGCCACUUUUCGGUACAGUCACCCAUUGCCGGAACCUUCGGCUCAUUUAACUAAUUAUACUUUGUUUUUCUUAUUUCCAUUUCAUCUUCACAUAAUUUCUAUUAAUUUUUAUUUAUGGCUUUUCUAGAUGGCUUAAAUAUGGUUCUAAACAUCCUGACUGUCCGGACAGACACUAACCACCGGAACAGUAGAAUAUAUAGACUACUUAGUAUGGGGGUGUUACAGACCAAGCAUCAAUGGUAAGACAAAUUGGUUGAGACUAUAAAACUUUCUUUAAUUUCAAUUUUUUGCCUUUAUAAAUACAAUCUCUAGCAAAAAUGGUACCUCACUUUUUUUUUUUUACUUAUUAUCUCAGACUUGUGUUUUUUGCAUUAUGGUAAUAAAAAAUAGUGGUCCUUUAUAAAGGUCAAGAUAUACGCUCACACCAUAGAAUGACUUGUAAUAUAUACUCAUAGCGCAUGUAAACUAGUUAUCCCAAUUUAGUUAGGGAAACAAAGAAAAUAAAACAUGAAUCUAUAAAAUAAUGAUAAACUAUUUAUAAAUAUUAGGCCUGUUAUUGGAUUGAAUUGGAUUAAGUUUUGAAUUCAAUCCAACUCAAAACAAGUGAAAUAAAUGAAUAUGGAUGUUGCAACUCAAACCGACCAACCCGACUGCAGAAAAUGAUGGUUGUUUGAUUCGGUGAAAAAUGUUAGACAUGUAAAGUUUGUGGUUGUUGUGGUACCAAAUGAAAAUUUAUCUAUUCCAUAAUAAAAAAAAGCAAUUAAUUAACAAUAAAAACAUAUUAAUAAAAAAAUAAUCCACCGACACAUAAUCAUAUUAAAAUUUAAGUAUUAAAAAUCAUCAUUAAAAAAUUUAAAAAAAAAAACAAAAAAAAAAAAUAAAAAAAAAAUUAAAAAAAAAAAA